rnacentral:rRNA from 1 species
UCCGUAGGUCCCGAACGUUGCGCGAAUUUACUGGGCGUAAAGGGUCCGUAGGCGGUUUAGCAAGUGGUUGGUGAAAUUUCACGGCUCAACCGUGAAACUGCCUUCCAAACUGCUAAACUUGAGGCAGGGAGAGGUCGGCGGAAUUCCCGGUGUAGAGGUGAAAUUCGUAGAUAUUCGCAGGAACACCAGUGGCGAAGGCGACUCGCUGGGACAUUGCUGACGCUGAGACGCGAAAGCGUGGGGAGAAAACAGG